rnacentral:lncRNA from 1 species
GGGGACGGCGCCGGCCGGGAGUGGCCGCUUGGGAACCCCCGACUGUCGGCCGAGAGACAAGGUCUCACUAUAUGGCCCAGGCUGGUCUCAAACGAUCUUCAUGUCUUGGCCUCCCAAAGUGCUGAGAUUACAGGCAUGAGCCACCAUGCCUGGCCCAGGUUAUUCUUAAUCUCACCUUUUAGAGAAAGUGGAGAGCCCCGCCCUGUGGGCUUUAAAUCUUGUUCCACUUCAGACACUUUCACAGCUCUGACAUCAUGAAUACUGUAAUCACCCAGCACAGGAGGGACUGCGAUUCCCAGAACUCUGACAUCAACAGCCUGUGAGGACAGCAAGCUGG